UGGCUGAGCGGUAAAGCACUUGGCUUCUCAACCGAGUGCCCCGGGUUCAAAUCCUGG
rnacentral:tRNA from 1 species